GCGUGAGUGGCUCAGUGGUUGAGCAUCUGCCUUCAGCUCAGGGAAUGAUCCCGGGUCCCGGGAUGAAGUCCCGGAUCAAGCU
rnacentral:tRNA from 1 species